rnacentral:rRNA from 1 species
UACGUAGGGUGCGAGCGUUAAUCGGAAUUACUGGGCGUAAAGCGUGCGUAGGCGGUUCGUUAAGUUCGUUGUGAAAGCCCCGGGCUCAACCUGGGAACUGCAAUGGAAACUGGCGGGCUUGAGUGUGGCAGAGGGGGGUGGAAUUCCGCGUGUAGCAGUGAAAUGCGUAGAGAUGCGGAGGAACACCGAAGGCGAAGGCGACACGCUGGGCCAUACCUGACGCUAAAGCGCGACAGCAUGGGGAGCAAACGGG